rnacentral:rRNA from 1 species
CCUACGGGAUGCUGCAGUGAGGAAUAUUGGUCAAUGGACGAGAGUCUGAACCAGCCAAGUAGCGUGAAGGAUGAAUGCCCUAUGGGUUGUAAACUUCGUUUAUAUGGGAAUAAAAUGUUCCAAGUGGGGGAUUUUGUAUGUACCAUAUGAAUAAGGAUCGGCUAACUCCGUGUCAGCAGCCGCGGUAAUAAGGAGGAUCCGAGCGUUGUCCGGAUUUAUUGGGUUUAACGGGAGCGUAGGUGUAUUGUUAAGUGAGUUGUGAAAGUUUGCGGCUCAACCGUAAAAUUGCAGUUGAAACUGGCAGUAUUGAGUACAGUAGAGGCGGGCGGAAUUCGUGGUGUAGCGGUGAAAUGCUUAGAUAUCACGAAGAACUCCGAUUGCGAAGGCAGCUCACUGGACUGCAACUGACACUGAGGCUCGAAAGUGUGGGUAUCAAACAGGAUUAGAUACCCGAGUAGUC